AGGCAUGGGAUUUAACCCCAUCCAAUUCCCUACCAACAACAGUUGCAAGGGAGACCGAAGGGCUAAAUCCUCAAACCCCAUCCUCUCUUCUCCGCCCUUCUCGGUCUCUCUCUACCUCCCGCCCUCCCCCCCCUCCCUUCCCUUCUCUUCACUCCCAAAUCUCUUCUUCCUCCUCCUCUACCAUGCCAACCCCCCACAGUGGGUAAUAAAUACUCCCCAACCCCACCAAAUUCCCUCCUCCCAUACCCUUCCAAGACCAAAAGAAGGAGACCGGCCUCUUCUCACGAAGAGACAUGGCUUGUGCCUCUGCACCUCAAUCUCUCCUCCUCUUCCUCUUUCUCCUCUUCUUUGUUGCCUCCACAUCCCACCUCACAUUCUCCGUAGAUGCUGCGGGCGGGCCGACGGCGUCGAUGAAGCCGGCGUCGGCGGUGGCGCCGGGGCUCAAAUCGGUGCUGAUCGACGAGGCCAAGCGGCGCCGACUCAGCAGCUUCCAGAUAUGCGCUCUCUGCACCUGCUGCGGAGGCCCGCGGGGCAUCUGCCUUCCUUCUCCAUGCUGCUACGCCAUCAACUGCAACAUCCCCAACAGGCCCUUCGGUUUCUGCUCCUUCACCCCCAAGACAUGCAACUGCUUUGGGUGCCACCUCUGAGACACUCUUCUCCCCCUCCUAGGUGAAUAGUUUGGAACAGAAUAAACACACCUCAUGGUUUUGUUGAGCUGGGAUCAUUGAAGAGAGUGCACUGUUUUCAUGUCUCCACCAGUGGAGGCUUCACAAGGUGUUUGGUCUUCCAUCUUUCCAUCCUGGAGGAGACAAAGGGUUGUGGUCAUCAAUUUGUUUCCCCCCCCCCCCCCUCCCCAAGACCACUGUUGUAACUUAGGUGUUUUCUAGAUCAAACAGGUGAAUGUGUACUGCCCUCUGCAUGUGGGAUCUCAUGAGGAGGGUAGGGGUUGAUGACCCCACAAUCUUUAUUUGCAAUAUGCAACUGUGCAUGUCAUGGAAGGCUUUUUUGAGGAGGGGGAAUCUGGUUGACCAAUUCAUGGAGGGUAUUCCCUCCCUCCAUGUGCCUGGCAUGUUUCUUCUUUACAGCCAUGUCUGCUAGUACUGUUUGAGGCAACUGAUAACCCACACUAUGAUAUAAGCUUGUGACCAAUA